GACGAACGCUGGCGGCGUGCCUAAUACAUGCAAGUUGAGCGCUGAAGGUUGGUACUUGUACCAACUGGAUGAGCAGCGCACGGGUGAGUAACGCGUGGGGAAUCUGCCUUUGAGCGGGGGACAACAUUUGGAAACGAAUGCUAAUACCGCAUAAAAACUUUAAACACAAGUUUUAAGUUUGAAAGAUGCAAUUGCAUCACUCAAAGAUGAUCCCGCGUUGUAUUAGCUAGUUGGUGAGGUAAAGGCUCACCAAGGCGAUGAUACAUAGCCGACCUGAGAGGGUGAUCGGCCACAUUGGGACUGAGACACGGCCCAAACUCCUACGGGAGGCAGCAGUAGGGAAUCUUCGGCAAUGGACGAAAGUCUGACCGAGCAACGCCGCGUAAGUGAAGAAGGUUUUCGGAUCGUAAAACUCUGUUGGUAGAGAAGAACGUUGGUGAGAGUGGAAAGCUCAUCAAGUGACGGUAACUACCCAGAAAGGGACGGCUAACUACGUG
rnacentral:rRNA from 1 species